rnacentral:rRNA from 1 species
UGGGGAAUCUUGGACAAUGGGCGCAAGCCUGAUCCAGCAAUGCCGCGUGAGUGAAGAAGGCCUUCGGGUUGUAAAGCUCUUUUGUCAGGGAAGAAACGGUAGUAGCGAAUAACUACUACUAAUGACGGUACCUGAAGAAUAAGCACCGGCUAACUACGUGCCAGCAGCCGCGGUAAUACGUAGGGUGCAAGCGUUAAUCGGAAUUACUGGGCGUAAAGCGUGCGCAGGCGGUUGUGUAAGUCAGAUGUGAAAUCCCCGGGCUCAACCUGGGAAUUGCAUUUGAGACUGCACGGCUAGAGUGUGUCAGAGGGGGGUAGAAUUCCACGUGUAGCAGUGAAAUGCGUAGAUAUGUGGAGGAAUACCGAUGGCGAAGGCAGCCCCCUGGGAUAACACUGACGCUCAUGCACGAAAGCGUGGGGAGCAAACAGGAUUAGAUACCCCAGUAGUCCCUGAGCGGGCUGGCAAGGCGCAU